rnacentral:sRNA from 1 species
GCCUCAGCGCCGGCUCCCGGCCGGGCCGCGGCCGCCGACCGUUGAGCCGCCUGCUGAAGUCCCUCCCUCAGGAACCCUUCCACCUCCGAACCGCUCUCGCGGCGGCGACCCAUGUGCGGGUUCAGGCUCCUGUGGGGGUUCAGGCUCCUGCGGUCGCCGCCGUUGCUGCUCCUGCUGCCGCAGCUCGGAAUCGGAAACGCCUCGUCCUGCUCUCAGGCCAGAACCAUGAACCCGGGCGGCAGCGGCGGCGCGCGAUGCUCCCUCUCGGCCGAGGUGCGCCGCCGUCAGUGCCUGCAGCUUUCCACCGUGCCUGGAGCCGACCCGCAGCGCAGCAACGAAUUGCUCCUGUUGGCGGCGGCCGGGGAGGGACUGGAGCGGCAGGACCUCCCCGGGGACCCAGCGAAGGAGGAGCCGCAGCCGCCGCCCCAGCAUCACGUCCUCUAUUUCCCUGGGGAUGUGCAGGUUCUGCCCCGCGCGCGGGCCUCACCUGUGGGUAGAGGUGCUGCAUGAACUGCUCCCGAGAAACGCCCUCCAGCCGGGGUACCAGGAGGUGCUGCCCGGCCAUGGUUGCUCACGCCUGCCCUCUUCCAGGUCCUCGGAACUUCGCUUCUAAAGCGUUCCUCAGCGCCACCCGCCCGGAAACACGAGCGACAGAGAAAAGGUCCGCGAGGCCGGCAGACUCCAGAGUGGCUGGGUCCGAGCGCGGGGCGGGUUGCCGAAGGGCCUCGGCCUGGGCUGCGUGCUGGAGAGCGGGGACGAGGCCGACUCACCAGUGGCUGCAGCAACAGGUCCACUUUGCUCUCCAGUCUCUUUCUCCGACACCGCUGAGGCGGUUUCCCACCGACUUCCUUUCCAUACAGCACCUGCAGGCACCGGGGUGAAGGGUCAUAAAAAUGGCGCUGGCCGCUCGUCUGCUACCCCAGUUCCUGCACUCUCGGUCGCUGCCCUGCGGGGCCGUCCGACUCCGGACUCCCGCUGUGGCCGAGGUGAGGCUGCCGUCGGCCAGACUUUGCUACCUCUGCCGCUGUCG